rnacentral:lncRNA from 1 species
UUUUUGUGUGUGUGUGUCUGUAUGUGCAUAUUUCUCCAUUGGCUGAAACAAACCCCAGAAAGAUUUUGCCUUUGUCCUGCCUGGCUAGAAAACCAUUUCUCAGUACUCAUAGAUGAGUAGAGAAUUUGAAUGCCACUAGGCAGAGUUAAAAAAACAAGUUCAACUCUCCUUUGAAAAAAUGCUACUAGUGGGUGACAGGCACUUGUAAUUGUUGUAGUUUUGGACUAGUAGAAACAAAAGAUUUAGAGACAAUUAUCAUCUUUGUGUUGCCACAUCAGACCAGAAUAAAACCUAUCUUAUGCACCAUUUAAAUCAGAAGAAAUAGUGUCUAUGAAGUUCUGAGAGCCACAGUGCUCUCUUCUGUGCCCUCUUCUGGGGAGGGGAAGUGGAAAGGGAGUGUCAGUAGUGUGUGGUGAUUGUAUAGCCAUGGACAAGGAGCACCCCACUGUCCACUGGGAGCCUGUGUGUGGAAUAGCAAGUGUGGGCUUGAUACCAGCCCUGGGUGUAAGACAGCCAUGCCAACCCAAAAUCUAGAACCAGAUGAAAAUGGAAGUUAAGUCAUUGUGUACCUUGAGGUGCCUCUGUGGUCGUAGCUCCAGAAGCUGACCAUCCAUCCCCUCUCCCCCAGGCCCAGACCGCUGUAUCCGUGUCCCUCUUUAGUCCCGUGGUUCAGGCCUUUCCCUAUGUGCUUCUGCUCUCAAAGUCCACACAGGACUGAUGCUUUUAAAAUGUGGUCUGUAAAAGAAUUUGAAAGUAUCAUCUUUUAAACUGACCUGCAUUUUUCUAUUCCUUACAUAAACUUUUUGUAUCGUGUUGGUCUAAUGACACUAUUUUAAUUUUUUUUUUAUUUCUCCCAUAGCACUUAAUAUUUUGUAAAGAUUUUUUUGUGAUAAAAUGGUCUAAGGGCUCUUUUUCCACAUUACCAUUUUAAAAACUUUUAAAAGCUAGAAAACAACUUAUGUAUAUUCUGUAUAUGUAUAGCAGCACAUUUCAUUUAUGGAAAUAUGUUCUCAGAAUAUUUAUUUACUAAUAUAUUUAUCUUAAGCCAUGUCUUAUGUUGAGAGUGUGACAUUGUUGAAAUAAUCAUUGAAAAUGACUAACAAGGCCCUGUAAAUACAUGAUAAUUGCACACAGAUUUUACAUAUUUGCAGACCAAAAAUGAUUUAAAGCAAGUUGUAGUCGUCUAUGAUUUUGUAACAAAUUGUACAAAUGACUGUAAAAAAAAAUACAAUUUUAUCAAGU